rnacentral:rRNA from 1 species
UACGUAGGGAGCAAGCGUUGUUCGGAUUUACUGGGCUUAAAGGGCGCGUAGGCGGCCUGCUAAGUCGAACGUGAAAUCCCCCGGGCUCAACCCGGGGAACUGCGUCCGAUACUGGUGGGCUUGAAUCCGGGAGAGGGAUGUGGAAUUCCAGGUGUAGCGGUGAAAUGCGUAGAUAUCUGGAGGAACACCGGUGGCGAAGGCGGCAUCCUGGACCGGUAUUGACGCUGAGGCGCGAAAAGCUAGGGGGAGCAAACGGGG